GGGCCAGACUCCUACGGGAGGCAGCAGUGGGGAAUAUUGCACAAUGGGGGAAACCCUGAUGCAGCGACGCCGCGUGAGCGAUGAAGUAUUUCGGUAUGUAAAGCUCUAUCAGCAGGGAAGAAGAUGACGGUACCUGACUAAGAAGCCCCGGCUAACUACGUGCCAGCAGCCGCGGGAAUACGUAGGGGGCAAGCGUUAUCCGGAUUUACUGGGUGUAAAGGGAGCGUAGACGGCGAUGCAAGCCAGAUGUGAAAGCCCGGGGCUCAACCCCGGGACUGCAUUUGGAACUGUGUGGCUGGAGUGUCGGAGAGGCAGGCGGAAUUCCUAGUGUAGCGGUGAAAUGCGUAGAUAUUAGGAGGAACACCAGUGGCGAAGGCGGCCUGCUGGACGAUGACUGACGUUGAGGCUCGAAAGCGUGGGGAGCAAACAGGAUUAGAUACCCGUGUA
rnacentral:rRNA from 1 species